GAUGAACGCUGGCGGCGUGCCUCAUACAUGCAAGUCGAGCGAAUGGAUUAAGAGCUUGCUCUUAUGAAGUUAGCGGCGGACGGGUGAGUAACACGUGAGUAACCUGCCCAUAAGACUGGGAUAACUCCGGGAAACCGGGGCUAAUACCGGAUAACAUUUUGAACCGCAUGGUUCGAAAUUGAAAGGCGGCUUCGGCUGUCACUUAUGGAUGGACCCGCGUCGCAUUAGCUAGUUGGUGAGGUAACGGCUCACCAAGGCAACGAUGCGUAGCCGACCUGAGAGGGUGAUCGGCCACACUGGGACUGAGACACGGCCCAGACUCCUACGGGAGGCAGCAGUAGGGAAUCUUCCGCAAUGGACGAAAGUCUGACGGAGCAACGCCGCGUGAGAGAUGAAGGCUUUCGGGUCGUAAAACUCUGUUGUUAGGGAAGAACAAGUGCUAGUUGAAUAAGCUGGCACCUUGACGGUACCUAACCAGAAAGCCACGGCUAACUACGUGCCAGCCGCCGCCGUAA
rnacentral:rRNA from 1 species